rnacentral:rRNA from 1 species
AUGGCGGCCGGCGGGCUGGCGGGGACGGAGCUGGUCAGCACCGGCGGGGCGGAGGCCGGCAACAACGCAAGGGUGACCGGCAGAGGGAAGAGGAAGGCGCUGCGGAAGGCCCGCCAGAAGAAGCCCUCGUCCUACAGGAGGGACGAUCGCCGAGACCGCGAGGAGUUCAUGCGGGCUCUCAGGGAGGAGGAGCCCAUAGAGCUGAGGGAGGAGGACGAGAUCCCCGAUUAUCGCGAACUCUGGGACUGUCUCUACGCCGACCACUUCGGCUCCUUCGACGACCAAACGGCUCUUGGUCCCAUGCGCCAUACAUUCGAACCCAUCCCAAGCUACGCCGCUCCUGAUUGUACCUUGCAGAUCUUCUACAUCCGAGUCACCGAGAUUAGCAAAGAUGGUCUCCAGUGGCCUCUGCAUGUCCAUGGCUUGGUUGCUGCGAGGGACUCUGUAGAUCACAACCGCAACUUCCUCUUCAAUCGCACUAGGGAUGACUGUCAAACCCUCACCCAAGAAGAUCCAUGGUUGAUGUUAACCGGCCCAUCUCGUGCGCUCGUGUUAAUUGAUCCGAUUGCGUUUGAAGUUCAGCUAAAAGUAAAGAGCAAAACAGAGCCUGGAAAAGAUGAACUGUUGGCUUUCAAAGUCUUCAGCUACCACAAAGCUUAUCAUUCUGAUGAGGUGGAAUCUACACGCAUCACCUGCAAGCGCUGCACGCUUGAGUUUGCAUAUGCGCCGUUGCUUCCUUCAGUCGAGGCCACUGUCACUGUCCAAGUUAUUGAUGGGUCAUGGGACGACCAUGUUCAAGGAGUUGUUACUUGCCGCACUGCCAGCAUGGAAAAUGGGGAGAUGGUGUUGCUUGCUUCUCGAGAUGGAAAAAUGCCUGUCAACUCGGAUGGUGUGAUUGAGCUUUCAAGGCGCGUUGUUUCUGUAGAAUUAAGGGGACAGCUGUUGGUUUCCGUGCUGGGCCGUGGGACGGGUGAUAAGAAAGGUUUGGUCGCGACAGAUACCGCUCUCUUUACACAGAUGAAUGCCGGCACGAGUCAUGGCGUAUGUGAUCUUGGUUUCUGCAAGGUGCAAGUUACUGUUGCUUGGUCCUUUCUUUCUACCCUGGCAGACAUGCUGCUUUCUGCUUAA